UGCAAUAGAAGUUUUAUUAAUGUGUUGGGUCAAUUAUACCACAAUUGGACCAAUGCCCAAAACGAAAACACAAAUACAUUCAUGUCUUCGUGAGGAAGCAAGUUGGACACGUCACCCACCGCUCCGAACAGUCUUCGACUCCGACGAUCACCACCGUCAAUGUCCGCCGUUCAAAUCUCAUGCAUCUGAUCUUGAUCCAAAACUCCAGCUGUUUCACCUUUGUCGCCUUAAUCUUCCUCUUCAUCGGUUAUGCUCAGAUGCUAGAGAAGCGCAACCCCUCUUCAUCGGAAAACCAGCGCGAGGAUAUUAAGACCGCCCACUCAGGACUGAUGGCAAAAGGAUAUUGCUGAUAUUACUCCCUAGAAACAGAAGACAGAAGAGAUUCACCAAGAAAAGUAAGUGAAGGAAUAAAAUCAAUUGAAACCGGUGAGACGCCAUUAAAUCCAAUCUAAGAUCGGAAUUAAAAAUCAGUCUUAACCGUGAGAAAUAUAUUACAAACAAAACCCAUCCCGAAAGACUGAAACUUUAGUAAAAAAAAAACUGAAACUUUAUUUAAUCAACUUCAACCGAUGAAAGAAAUAUAAACUUGAAGGAACUGAUCGGAAUAUUGAAAAUCACAACAUAAAGUCGAUCAUAGAUCGAAAUAUAUAAAAGAAAAAACAGUCGGGCUAUGGUCGGAAGAAAUUCCGAUGUACCAGAAUCGCUCUCUUUCUCUCUCUCUUUGAAAGAUAGAGAUGUGAUCAGAAAGAAAGAGGCGACUUAUGCCCCGUGAUUUGAUUUUAGGUUUAAGAUACACGUAAUUUAAGGUGAAGUAAAGUCAAUUUAUUUUAGUUGGUUUAGGAAAAGUUUAAGACGACAGUUUAAUAGGUCAGUGGCAUUCCGUGGUAAUUAUUUAAAAAAACUCAGGGCUAAGUACUAAGUGUACUUCUGUUUUAAUAGUUUAGAUAGGUCAGUG
rnacentral:lncRNA from 1 species